rnacentral:rRNA from 1 species
CCUACGGGAGGCUGCAGUGAGGAAUAUUGGUCAAUGGCCGAGAGGCUGAUCCAGCCAAGUCGCGUGAGGGAAGACGGCCCUACGGGUUGUAAACCUCUUUUGUCGGGGAGCAAAGCGAACCACGUGUGGUUCAUUGAGAGUACCCGAAGAAAAAGCAUCGGCUAACUCCGUGCCAGCAGCCGCGGUAAUACGGAGGAUGCGAGCGUUAUCCGGAUUUAUUGGGGUUAAAGGGUGCGCAGGCGGAGGUGCAAGUCAGCGGGAAAAUUGCGGGGCUCAACCCCGUACUGCCGUUGAAACUGCAUGCCUUGAGUGCGCGAGAAGUAUGCGGAAUGCGUGGUGGAGCGGUGAAAUGCAUAGAUAUAACGCAGAACUCCGAUGGCGAAGGCAGAAUACCGGAGCGCAACUGACGCUCAUGCACGAAAGCGUGGGUAUCGAACAGGAUUAGAUACCCGAGUAGUC